CCUCUCCCGCUCGCCCGAUGCCUGGGCGAGACCGCCCGCUGAUUGACUGUGGGGGUCUCUCUGGAGGCGGGGAGCGCACAGAGCGCCAUGUUGGCUGUGGGGAAGUGAUGGAGGAGGCGGCGGCGGGUGCACUGCACUCCCCAUUAACCCCCCCUUCCCCAGGUGGUUCCUUUGCCCAUGGGCAGCAAAGCCCCCACUGCUUCUGCAGCUGGAGAGUGUUGGAGCUGUGGACCAUUAACAUUCCAGUCUCUCCCAGCUCUGCAUCCCAAAAGUCGAGAGGGAUCAGUCUGUCACCUCAAAGUGAAUCAAUCCCAUUGAAAAUGGCUCGAUCCCAUUCCAAAACCUCUGUGUUUCUUAUUUUCCCUGUGUAAUUCUGGGGCAGCUGGUGCCACUCCUCAGCUCUCAGCAGGCUGAGGCUUGGCCUUGCACUUUUGCCUUUGCUGGAUUUCUUCAUCAAAUAUUUCUCUCUCCCUGAAAAGAAACAUAUGGAAGGUUUUCAAUAAUCUGGACAUCUUUAGACCAUCUGGACAAAUGACAGUUUGCAGUGUUGGAACAGCUCAGCCACAACAUUUUCCAUGUUUAAUCAUUUAUUCCCAUCCCUCCCAGGAGGGAGGACACUGAACUCUUCCACAGAAACAGAAACAGAAAACUAGUAACAAAAAUUCAGAGACUACUGAACAUGAAAAAUACCUUUUGCUCACAGGUGGCCCUUUCAUGUCCUUCUCUUCUGCCUUCCUGGAAUCCACGUUAUCCACGGCAGCAGUUGCCUAGAUCAUGGCCCAGAAAAGCUUUUUAAUUCAUUUAUAAUCAUUCCAGAAAACUGAAUCACAGCUGGGGGGUGGGAGACCAAGCAGGUGUUCAGGCUGGAGAGCCAGAGGCAGCUCCCCAGAGAGAGGCCUCAGAGAUAGGGAUGGAAUCCAUCAGACGGCCUUGGGCACUCUGUGAGAGGGAGAGAAGAAGCUGCAACUUCAGGGGAAGGACACCUGGGGUGAACACCUGCUACCAAAGUUAAAAAUGAGAAGGAAGAGACUGCUUUAGUUCACCCCACUUAUGAAAUAGGAAUUAAUUUAUAAUUAAGAAUGACAGUGUGUUGUUAGAAAAAUUUGACUAGUGUGGAUAAGUUAGAAAAAGUGUGUGACAGUGUGUUAAAAAGGUCCAUGCAUGCCUCCUUCCCUGUAGCCUAGAAAUUCCUGCGCUAGGUGGGAUAAAAAAGCUUUACUGUAAACAUUGCAUGCCUUUUCUGCCAUUUUGGGGUGGACGAGGAGGACGGAAGAAUAAAACUUCUAUUUUUAGUGACA